ensembl:snRNA U6 U6 spliceosomal RNA
GUGCUCAUUUCAGCAGCACAUAUACUAAAAUUGGAACGAUACAGAGAAGAUUAGCAUGGCCCCUGUUCAAGGAUGCAAUGUCCUCUCAAUCAUCAUCGUUUAU